rnacentral:tRNA from 1 species
CAAAAAGUAGUAUAAAAUUUUACAACUUGCUUACACCAAGUAAAAGGUUAAAACCCUUUUUG